rnacentral:rRNA from 1 species
AUUGAACGCUGGCGGCAUGCCUUACACAUGCAAGUCGAACGGUAACAGGUCUUCGGAUGCUGACGAGUGGCGAACGGGUGAGUAAUACAUCGGAACGUGCCUAGUAGUGGGGGAUAACUACUCGAAAGAGUGGCUAAUACCGCAUGCGAUCUACGGAUGAAAGCAGGGGAUCGCAAGACCUUGUGCUACUAGAGCGGCCGAUGGCAAAUUAGGGAGUUGGUGGGAUAAAAGCUUACCAAGCCGACGAUCUGUAGCUGGUCUGAGAGGACGAACAGCCACACUGGGACUGAGACACGGCCCAGACUCCUACGGGAGGCAGCAGUGGGGAAUUUUGGACAAUGGGCGCAAGCCUGAUCCAGCAAUGCCGCGUGCAGGAUGAAGGCCUUCGGGUUGUAAACUGCUUUUGUACGGAACGAAAAGCCCUGGGUUAAUACCCUGGGGUCAUGACGGUACCGUAAGAAUAAGCACCGGCUAACUACGUGCCAGCCGCCGCAGUAA